rnacentral:rRNA from 1 species
UACGGGGGGUGCAAGCGUUGUUCGGAAUUAUUGGGCGUAAAGAGCGUGUAGGCGGCCUGAUGUGUCAGAUGUGAAAGCCCUGGGCUUAACCCAGGAAGUGCAUUUGAAACUGUCAGGCUCGAGUAGGGGAGAGGGAAGUGGAAUUCCUGGUGUAGAGGUGAAAUUCGUAGAUAUCAGGAGGAACACCGGUGGCGAAGGCGACUUCCUGGCCCUAUACUGACGCUGAGACGCGAGAGCGUGGGUAGCAAACAGGAUUAGAUACCCUGGUAGUCCACGCCGUAAACGAUGUUCACUAGGUGUUGGGGGUAUUGACCCCCUCAGUGCCGGAGCUAACGCAUUAAGUGAACCGCCUGGGGAGUACGGUCGCAAGACUAAA